GCCUGGGUGGCUCAGUCGGUUGAGUGUCUGACUUCGACUUAGGUCAUGAUCUCACAGUCUGUGGGUUCAAGCCCCACAUCAGGCU
rnacentral:tRNA from 1 species